UGGGGAAUAUUGCACAAUGGGCGCAAGCCUGAUGCAGCCAUGCCGCGUGUAUGAAGAAGGCCUUCGGGUUGUAAAGUACUUUCAGCGGGGAGGAAGGGAGUAAAGUUAAUACCUUUGCUCAUUGACGUUACCCGCAGAAGAAGCACCGGCUAACUCCGUGCCAGCAGCCGCGGUAAUACGGAGGGUGCAAGCGUUAAUCGGAAUUACUGGGCGUAAAGCGCACGCAGGCGGUUUGUUAAGUCAGAUGUGAAGUCCCCGGGCUCAACCUGGGAACUGCAUCUGAUACUGGCAAGCUUGAGUCUCGUAGAGGGGGGUAGAAUUCCAGGUGUAGCGGUGAAAUGCGUAGAGAUCUGGAGGAAUACCGGUGGCGAAGGCGGCCCCCUGGACGAAGACUGACGCUCAGGUGCGAAAGCGUGGGGAGCAAACAGG
rnacentral:rRNA from 1 species